rnacentral:rRNA from 1 species
CCUACGGGGGACAGCAGUGGGGAAUAUUGGUCAAUGGACGCAAGUCUGACCCAGCAACGCCGCGUGAAGGAAGAAGGCUUUCGGGUUGUAAACUUCUUCUAAGGGGGAAGAGCAGAAGACGGUACCCCUUGAAUAAGCCACGGCUAACUACGUGCCAGCAGCCGCGGUAAUACGUAGGUGGCAAGCGGUGUCCGGAUUUACUGGGUGUAAAGGGCGUGCAGCCGGAGAGACAAGUCCGGUGUGAAAUCCACGGGCUCAAACCGUGAACUGCAUUUGAAACUGUUUCCCUUGAGUGUCGGAGAAGUAAUCGGAAUGCGUGGUGUAGCGGUGAAAUGCGUAGAUAUAAGGAAGAACACCAGUGGCGAAGGCGGAUUACUGGACGAUAACUGACGGUGAGGCGCGAAAGCGUGAGGAGCAAACAGGAUUAGAUACCCGGGUAGUC